rnacentral:rRNA from 1 species
UACGUAGGGUGCAAGCGUUGUCCGGAAUUAUUGGGCGUAAAGAGCUCGUAGGCGGUCUGUCGCGUCUGCUGUGAAAACUCAGGGCUUAACCCUGAGCUUGCAGUGGGUACGGGCAGACUAGAGUGCGGUAGGGGAGACUGGAAUUCCUGGUGUAGCGGUGAAAUGCGCAGAUAUCAGGAGGAACACCGGUGGCGAAGGCGGGGUCUCUGGGCCGUAACUGACGCUGGAGGAGCGAAAGCAUGGGGGAGCGAACAGG